CUCCAUUCAGUAGGAUAUAUACUAAAACUGGAACAAUACAGUCAAGAUUAGCUUGGCCCCUUGACAAGGUUAAAACAAAUAAACAAACAAAACAAAACAAACAA
rnacentral:snRNA from 1 species